UAAAUCAGAGUUUUCUUCUUUUCCUUGUGCAAGGAGGGAGCUCCAGGCUAGAAUGGACAGUCUAAUUUUUAUUUUUUUUUCUGAAUUUUGGGAUAUCUUACGGCCGGGCUCCAUUGAAUCUUCAAUCAAAUCUUUGAAGGGACUCUUGACCUCGAUAGAUUUAACUACAACCACAAAAGCAUGGCCACUCCAACGAAGGAACCCACGGUAGCAGCCCUGAGAGGAUGGAGAUUUGCCAUUGGCCGUUAUGACUUCGCUGCUGCGCAUUCCUAUUGGGGGCAUGAUUGCUUUCUUUAUGUGAGCUAUGAAUGAUGUUCUUUGUCCGAUAAGGGGGGAAUCGGUGCCCUUGAUUGCGGAAGAAACCAUGUCCUACACCACGUGCACCACAUCUCUCCCUGCGACGGCGGGAGAGAUGUGUAAGUGGGCCCUCGGCAUCGUGCUGGUAGUUCCGUAACCCCCUCGACAAUCGAAGAAAGGCGUCGACCUGGGUUGGGUUUCGGCGGAGAAAGCCUUCGAUUCUUGUCUUCUCCCCUUCCUUCCUUGGAAAAGGUCCGGUUUCGAUGCAGCGGCUUCCCUCCUUCUUCAUCCUUGUUUGGGUUGGGUAUGAAAGGGCAAUCCAAGAUUGACGAAUUUUGCCUAAAUUCAUGAACGAGGGAUUUCGAGGAUCUGACAACCUUCAAUUAGGACUUCUUUCUUUCCAAAGGACUGAAUGUGUGGUUUGGGUUUGCCAAGAGCGAGAAGCCCUUGAUUCAGGGGGCACACCGGUGGGUGGUGGCUGCGUGAGGCAGAGACGCAACCAAGGGUACUUCUCCAGCGGUGACGACCUCGAGAGGCAGCAGAACAGUGGGGGAUACUCCUCGACUGGCGAUGAUGACCUUGAGGACGACGCAUGUUCGAGGCCGCCAGUCCAUUCAAUACCAACUCUUCAGAGGGCUCGGACAUGGAAAGAAGUCGUUGAGGCGAUGAUUUGGCUUGUCUUUGCUGCGUUCAUCAUCUACUAUGGCGACCGGCACUCGAAUCUGAUCUCUAUCUUGUGUUGGGAUGGGAGGAUCAAGAGGACAGCUCUGUACCUUGGCCUAGUAGGUGUUGCCUUGGAUUUAGGCCUUGUUUUAUAUUCUACAUUUUUCUUGUGGGGUCCACAGAAGAUUUAUGAAAAAAAUGAAGCCUUGCUCUCUAUAGCACCAUGUAUCAUCCUGUUUGGAUUCCUCUCCUUCUGCUUGUUCUCAUUUGCUUUGUGGCCUAUUUGGAGUUUUUUGUCCAUUCCUCUCUUGUUUACACUGUUCAUGGCUUUCAUGGUUGUAUCUCCAUAUUUGCUGAUUGGACCACUCAGGCUACCAGAAUUUACAGUUCGUGCCGACUGAUCUUUCCAAAUAAAUAAGCUGAGAACUGAAGAAAAACUGAUUCUAGAAAGGGGUACCUGCAAAGACAUUGUAACAUGUGUGGUGGUUGCACUAGUAGUGGCUGUACCAUUUUGAAGUAGCAGUUGCAUAAGUGGAGGAUCACAGAAAGCAGACAUGCAAGAAGGGUUGUUUUGACUCUCAUAUCAUGCCACAUGGGUAAUUGAGAUCUUGCCUAGAUGUUUAUUCUUAUUAACUUUUAAAUGAGCCCUUUCUGCACUUGAAAUGGAUAAGGGAUGUCUAUCUUUCAUUUCACAUCAACAUAGUUCACAUUAGUUUUUUUUUUUUCCCCUUGAAUAUUGAAAGUUCUUUUUUUGUGCCUCAAAUGUCUUUUCAGCCUUGUCAUAGUUUUGAUGAUCUCGAAACGUCAAAUAUAUUGGUAGUUUUUCCCCUUGAACACGAAGGUUUUUCUUCUUAUAUUAAAUAUCUGCCAUUGUAUAUUUGACUUAGGAAAAAGUAUAUGAUAUUGUGGACAUUAUUUGGUUAGCUGUACUGUCUUCUAUGUAAUAAAAGUUAUGAUAGGGCAUCGAUGCAACCCAUUCUUGCGGUAUAGCAGAUUGAUUUUUCGUGUUUUGUAUCUAUCAUCUCCCAAUAUUUGGUAUUAAUCUUAAAGAUUGGUGUGUACUAUAAGAUGAGUUUGAUGUACAACUUGUCAAGAUGUUUCAUUAUCAUGGGUUUCUUGUGUUGUCAGUUAGUAGCUAUUGGUCUUUUGAUUAUUUUUAUAUGGUCCCUGAAAGGGAAAAUCAGCCUGGUGUGCAACAGGAGUUUAUAUAUAUUUAUAUCUUGAACUAGUCAUUUGUUAUGGAUCAUCCUGACCAGGGUAAGAAUUGAUCAUUUUCCAUGAUUUCUUAAAUAAUUUAUUUGAUUUUUUUAUAUUGGCGCUGAAGGGAAAAAUCAGUCUUGUGUGCAACAGAAGUUUAUACAUAUUUAUAUCUUGAACUAGUCAUUUAUUUUAUUGAUCAUCAUAAUUGGGAUAAGAAUGGAUCAUUUUCCAUGAUUUCUUAAAUAAUUUAUUUGGUUAUUUUUAUAUGGGUGGCGAAAGUAAAAAUCAGACCUGUGCGCAACAGGAGUUUAUGUAUAUUUUUAUAUCUUGAACUAGUCAUUCAUUUUAUUGAUCAUCCUAACCAGGGUAAAAUUUGAUCAUUUUUCAUGAUUUCUUAAAUAAUUUGUUUGAUUAUUUUUAUUUGGGUGCUGAUAGUAAAAAUCAGCCUUGUGUGCAACCGGAGUUUAUAUAGAGUUUUUACAUAUUUAUAUCUUGAACUAGUCAUUCAUUUUACUGAUCAUACUAAUGAGGGUAAGAACUGAUCAUUUUCCAUGAUUUGUUAAAUAAUUUAAGUUAUUUGUAUCAUACUUGAUAGGUUUUAUAAUCAAAUUUAUUUCAAUCUUAUCCAUCCCUGUCCCUUGCUUCAAAUGGCUAUCUUUACUAGUUUAGCUGAUGUUUGCAUGGGGAAACCUCAAAAGUCUUACAUGCUAUUAUGAAGACCUGUAUAGUAUUAGGAUCUGCAUCCAACAGAUAUAUGUACCUAGGUGCCACCAUAGGCUACAUGAUGCGUCAUUAUUGUAAGUUUCUGCUCGUCAAAAGUGAUGAUAUUCACAAAGAUUCCCUAUUCCAUCUGCUUGAAGUUUGAUUUUGGACUCUAGUGAUCACAAUUCAAGUCUGAAGAAAAAUUUGUCAUGGACAGGCUUAGAUUUAUUAUAAACAGCUGGCACUGCAAUGACCAUCUCCAUCAACUAGCCAAGACUCACAAACAACUUGCACUGCUAUGACCAUCUCCACCACUCAAUUAAGACUGUUGGUUUUUAAAUACCCUAUUUCGGGGGCUUUCCAUGCCAAACACGUAUUUGCUCAUAUGGGUAAUUUAGAUUUCUGGAAAGUAAGACUGAUCUACAGUGUACUUGAAAAGCACAAAGAUUCACUUUAGAAAGAUUUAAAAGCAUAUACAAUCCAACAGAGGAAAUAUGUCAUAGAUGAGUCAUGUCAUGCAUGGUGACCAAAACUAAACUGUUAUUAUUUUCUUUUCCUUUGCUAAUCGGAUGAUGCUGAUGUCUUUCUUUAUUAACUAAGCAGUCUUACCGGGAAAGAGCUUUCCAGAAAGGAGUUUGUGGUUCUGCUCAGGGCAAUGAAAUGGCACGGAAUUAUCUUUGGUAUGUAAUAGCCAUAGGAAAUAUUUUGGAAAAGUUGUUGAUAUAGUGUUCUUUUUAAUAAAUCAAUUAUCUUAAAACUUCAGUAGAUGCUUGACUUAUUCAUGUGGAUAUCAAUGUUUGCCCCAGAUAAAUGAGCAGUUGCCUAGAAAUCUCCAUAUUGAUUUCAUUUUAA